rnacentral:rRNA from 1 species
CCUACGGGUGGCAGCAGUCGAGAAUCAUUCACAAUGGGGGAAACCCUGAUGGUGCGACGCCGCGUGGGGGAAUGAAGGUCUUCGGAUUGUAAACCCCUGUCAUGUGGGAGCAAAUUAAAAAGAUAGUACCACAAGAGGAAGAGACGGCUAACUCUGUGCAAGCAGCCGCGGGAAUACAGAGGUCUCAAGCGUGGUUCGGAAUAACGGGGCGUAAAGCGUGCGGAGGCUGUUUCGUAAGUCGUGUGUGAAAGGCGCGGGCUCAACCCGCGGACGGCACAUGAUACUGCGAGACUAGAGUAAUGGAGGGGGAACCGGAAUUCUCGGUGUAGCAGUGAAAUGCGUAGAUAGCGAGAGGAACACUCGUGGCGAAGGCGGGUUCCUGGACAUUAACUGACGCUGAGGCACGAAGGCCAGGGGAGCGAAAGGGAUUAGAUACCCGAGUAGUC